CACGGGGGGAGCAAGCGUUGUUCGGAAUCACUGGGCGUAAAGGGCGUGUAGGCGGUCAAGUAAGUGGAAUGUGAAAGCCCCCGGCUUACCCGGGGAUCUGCAUCCCAAACUGCUUGGCUUGAGUACGGGAGAGGAUAGGGGAAUUCCUGGUGUAGCGGUGAAAUGCGUAGAUAUCAGGAGGAACACCGGUGGCGAAGGCGGGUCUCUGGGCCGUAACUGACGCUGAGGAGCGAAAGCGUGGGGAGCGAACAGG
rnacentral:rRNA from 1 species